rnacentral:rRNA from 1 species
GACGGGGGCCCGCACAAGCGGUGGAGCAUGUGGUUUAAUUCGAUGAUACGCGAGGAACCUUACCUGGGCUCAAAUGUAUGUUGACGUAUUCUGAAAGGGAUACUUCUUCGGACAAUAUACAAGGUGCUGCAUGGUUGUCGUCAGCUCGUGCCGUGAGGUGUCGGGUUAAGUCCCAUAACGAGCGCAACCCCUAUCAUUAGUUGCCAUCAGGUCAAGCUGGGGACUCUAAUGAAACUGCCUACGCAAGUAGUGAGGAAGGUGGGGAUGACGUCAAAUCAGCACGGCCCUUACGUCCAGGGCUACACACGUGCUACAAUGGCCGGUACAAAGGGCAGCUACCUGGUGACAGGAUGCUAAUCUCAAAAGCCGGUCUCAGUUCGGAUCGGAGUCUGCAACCCGACUCCGUGAAGCUGGAGUCGCUAGUAAUCGCGCAUCAGCCAUGGCGCGGUGAAUACGUUCCCGGGCCUU